rnacentral:lncRNA from 1 species
CGCCUAAUACACCUUUUAUCUUUCUCCGCCUCUCCUCUCUGACUUUUGCAAUCUCACCGCCAUGGGAAUCGCCGGGGAACUCACCGCCGAUCAGCUCAGCUUCUUCAAUUCCAACGGUAGCUUGACAUCAAAAGGAGAAGCCUUUUUCCGAUUCCUCCCGAUUUCCCUUUUCUUCAACCUGAAACUGACUGCAAUCGCUUGGUCUUGCAGGUUACCUCGCGGUUGAAUCGUUCGCCAGCUCGUUUGAAUUUGAUUCUUUUCCCCACUUGUGAAGUAAGUCAUAGUAGAGAGCAGCUGGUAUCUUGUACUUUACUAGUGUUUUUUUCCUAUUUAUUGCUGGCAGAUUGGGCCUUCAAGUAUCCUAUUCAUCUUGUCUUCAGAUGUGGGUUUCCAUUAAUAUAUUCCUUCUCUGUAGGAGAAAGUUGCUUACUUGGUACUUCACUAAUUAUUCCAUGUGUUUUGGAUUCUGAUCCUUCUCUGAAUCUGCAGCAGAGUCACGUUAAUGUAUUAAACUCCCUGCAACUUACGCUAUGCACAUCUCAAGGUGUACAGAAAUCAAGGACGCAUCGGAUGGUGGCAACUGGAAAUCUGCUGCCGGAUUCAUUAG